UACAUAGGUUAACAGAGCAAACCGGGGGAACUGAAACAUCUAAGUACCCCGAGGAGAAGAAAUCAACCGAGAUUCCGGUAGUAGCGGCGAGCGAACCUGGAUUAGCCCUUAAGCACUCGGUGAAGUAGGUGAACAAGCUGGAAAGCUUGGCGAUACAGGGUGAUAGCCCCGUAACCGACGCUUCAUCGAGCGUGAAAUCGAGUAGGGCGGGACACGUGAUAUCCUGUCUGAAUAUGGGGGGACCAUCCUCCAAGGCUAAAUACUCCUGACUGACCGAUAGUGAACCAGUACCGUGAGGGAAAGGCGAAAAGAACCCCUGUGAGGGGAGUGAAAUAGAACCUGAAACCGUGUACGUACAAGCAGUAGGAGCACCUUCGUGGUGUGACUGCGUACCUUUUGUAUAAUGGGUCAGCGACUUAUAUUCAGUGGCAAGGUUAACCGUAUAGGGGAGCCGUAGCGAAAGCGAGUCUUAACUGGGCGCUCAGUCUCUGGAUAUAGACCCGAAACCGGGUGAUCUAGCCAUGGGCAGGUUGAAGGUUGAGUAACAUCAACUGGAGGACCGAACCGACUAAUGUUGAAAAAUUAGCGGAUGACUUGUGGCUAGGGGUGAAAGGCCAAUCAAACUCGGAGAUAGCUGGUUCUCCCCGAAAGCUAUUUAGGUAGCGCCUCGGACGAAUACUACUGGGGGUAGAGCACUGUUAAGGCUAGGGGGUCAUCCCGACUUACCAACCCUUUGCAAACUCCGAAUACCAGUAAGUACUAUCCGGGAGACACACGGCGGGUGCUAACGUCCGUCGUGGAGAGGGAAACAACCCAGACCGCCAGCUAAGGUCCCAAAGUAUUGCUAAGUGGGAAACGAUGUGGGAAGGCUCAGACAGCUAGGAUGUUGGCUUAGAAGCAGCCAUCAUUUAAAGAAAGCGUAAUAGCUCACUAGUCGAGUCGGCCUGCGCGGAAGAUGUAACGGGGCUAAGCAAUACACCGAAGCUGCGGCAAUGUCUUUUAGACAUUGGGUAGGGGAGCGUUCUGUAAGCCGUUGAAGGUGAAUCGUAAGGUUUGCUGGAGGUAUCAGAAGUGCGAAUGCUGACAUGAGUAACGACAAAGGGGGUGAAAAACCUCCUCGCCGGAAGACCAAGGGUUCCUGUCCAACGUUAAUCGGGGCAGGGUGAGUCGACCCCUAAGGUGAGGCCGAAAGGCGUAAUCGAUGGGAAACGGGUUAAUAUUCCCGUACUUCUGACUAUUGCGAUGGGGGGACGGAGAAGGCUAGGUGGGCCAGGCGACGGUUGUCCUGGUUCAAGUGCGUAGGCUUGAGAGUUAGGUAAAUCCGGCUCUCUCUAAGGCUGAGACACGACGUCGAGCUACUACGGUAGUGAAGUCAUUGAUGCCAUGCUUCCAGGAAAAGCCUCUAAGCUUCAGAUAGUCAGGAAUCGUACCCCAAACCGACACAGGUGGUCGGGUAGAGAAUACCAAGGCGCUUGAGAGAACUCGGGUGAAGGAACUAGGCAAAAUGGUACCGUAACUUCGGGAGAAGGUACGCUCUUGAUGGUGAAGUCCCUCGCGGAUGGAGCUGACGAGAGUCGCAGAUACCAGGUGGCUGCAACUGUUUAUUAAAAACACAGCACUGUGCAAAAUCGCAAGAUGACGUAUACGGUGUGACGCCUGCCCGGUGCCGGAAGGUUAAUUGAUGGGGUUAGCGCAAGCGAAGCUCUUGAUCGAAGCCCCGGUAAACGGCGGCCGUAACUAUAACGGUCCUAAGGUAGCGAAAUUCCUUGUCGGGUAAGUUCCGACCUGCACGAAUGGCGUAAUGAUGGCCACGCUGUCUCCACCCGAGACUCAGUGAAAUUGAAAUCGCUGUGAAGAUGCAGUGUACCCGCGGCUAGACGGAAAGACCCCGUGAACCUUUACUACAGCUUGGCACUGAACAUUGAACCUACAUGUGUAGGAUAGGUGGGAGGCUAUGAAGACGUGACGCCAGUUGCGUUGGAGCCGUCCUUGAAAUACCACCCUUGUAUGUUUGAUGUUCUAACUUAGACCCAUUAUCUGGGUUGAGGACAGUGCCUGGUGGGUAGUUUGACUGGGGCGGUCUCCUCCCAAAGAGUAACGGAGGAGCACGAAGGUGGGCUAAUCACGGUUGGACAUCGUGAGGUUAGUGCAAUGGCAUAAGCCCGCUUAACUGCGAGAAUGACGGUUCGAGCAGGUGCGAAAGCAGGUCAUAGUGAUCCGGUGGUUCUGUAUGGAAGGGCCAUCGCUCAACGGAUAAAAGGUACUCCGGGGAUAACAGGCUGAUACCGCCCAAGAGUUCAUAUCGACGGCGGUGUUUGGCACCUCGAUGUCGGCUCAUCACAUCCUGGGGCUGAAGUCGGUCCCAAGGGUAUGGCUGUUCGCCAUUUAAAGUGGUACGCGAGCUGGGUUUAGAACGUCGUGAGACAGUUCGGUCCCUAUCUGCCGUGGGCGUUGGAAGAUUGAAGGGGGCUGCUCCUAGUACGAGAGGACCGGAGUGGACGAACCUCUGGUGUUCGGGUUGUGUCGCCAGACGCAUUGCCCGGUAGCUAAGUUCGGAAUUGAUAAGCGCUGAAAGCAUCUAAGCGCGAAGCGAGCCCUGAGAUGAGUCUUCCCUGACAGUUUAACUGUCCUAAAGGGUUGUUCGAGACUAGAACGUUGAUAGGCAGGGUGUGUAAGCGUUGUGAGGCGUUGAGCUAACCUGUACUAAUUGCCCGUGAGGCUUAACCAUACAACACCCAAGGGGUUUUGUA
rnacentral:rRNA from 1 species